UGGAAACAAAACCAUAGACAACAUUAUCAGUGGGGCAGUUCUCUUUGAACUCAUUAUGACCCCUUAAAAAAAUUGAGUUCGAGCCUUUGGGCAAAUUCAGUUCCAACUGUGUUCAAAACUGUUAUGCAUGCUGGAGUAUAAAAAGCUGUUGAAUUGUACUUUUUCUUAACUUUCACAUACACUGUGUUCACAGAAACAUUGCUCGAAUCUUGUCCCCUGGACCUUGGAGGACUUUUGGUGUGGGUAAUGUUCAGGGCCUACCAAUGCAAAGUUUCUCAAACAAAUGUGGGGUGUUUGUUUUGAUGCACACUAUUGUGGUGCCUAGUUCUCCUGCAGAACUUUCCAUGUCGAUGAUGUAUAUGAUUCUCCCCCAAGAAGUCACAGCAUGUCACAUCAGCCUCCAGCUCUGAAGGAUCAGACAAUACUGAAAACAAAAUGCACGGCGAACUGGGAGCUGUGAACUGUGAAGCAGCAAGGUGGUGCGAACGCCAAACAUUUAAAGGCACCAUUUCCCUCCCUAGUGUAAUUGGGAUGGAGGGGGAAGACCGUAUUACAACCCUUAAAGAACUACGGUUGUAUGAUGGCCUGGAUGAGGAGGAAAAUAUUCUCAUCAAGAAACCAUUCAUGUUCUCAUUCCAGUUACAGAGAUUAGAUGUUCUAUGUGGAGGCAGUUGACAACAAGAAAAUGACUGCCUUUGCCUCUUUUGAGGAGCAGGAGUGAAGCAAUUUUUGAG
ensembl:lncRNA